rnacentral:tRNA from 1 species
GGUGGUGUAGCUCAGUGGUGGAGCACUUCCUCCACACGUAAGAUCCUGGGUUCAAUAUCCAGCACUGCAA